rnacentral:rRNA from 1 species
AACGAACGCUGGCGGCAGGCUUAACACAUGCAAGUCGAGCGCGUAGCAAUACGAGCGGCAGACGGGUGAGUAACGCGUGGGAAUCUACCCAUCUCUACGGAACAACUCCGGGAAACUGGAGCUAAUACCGUAUACGUCCUUCGGGAGAAAGAUUUAUCGGGGAUGGAUGAGCCCGCGUUGGAUUAGCUAGUUGGUGGGGUAAUGGCCUACCAAGGCAACGAUCCAUAGCUGGUCUGAGAGGAUGAUCAGCCACAUUGGGACUGAGACACGGCCCAAACUCCUACGGGAGGCAGCAGUGGGGAAUAUUGGACAAUGGGCGCAAGCCUGAUCCAGCCAUGCCGCGUGAGUGAUGAAGGCCCUAGGGUUGUAAAGCUCUUUCAGCUGGGAAGAUAAUGACGGUACCAGCAGAAGAAGCCCCGGCUAACUCCGUGCCAGCCGCCGCAGUAAAAC